GGAAUGGAAAGCCCGUUUUUGGAACAGCAACUUUCACCACUAUUCUGAUAUUUUAGGAGAGCGAGAAUUCAAGGUGGUAUGGGGAACCUUUCAAAGCCUUCGACGACGCUACGAUGACAGUUUGAGGUCAUGUUUCAGAACAGCAUAUGACUUUCAAGUCAAAGUUUUAAGAUGGCUUCAUGCUGUUUGCUUGCUUCCAAGACGGCAUGACCAAGUUUUCAAGAAUUUCAAGGCGGUAUGACAAAUGUUUGAACGGGUCAUUUUCUUCGGAAAUGAAUAAUAAUGGCUUGAAGUGAUCGCUCAAACUGGCUGCUCGGUAAGAAGUGGGAAAGAAGAAGAAAAAAAAAAUGUCAACUCAUAAAAAGACAAGAUGAACGUUACAACGCUACCCAUCGCCAUGUUUUUAAACAAUUCAAAAGCCUCCAGCGGAAGAGUUUUGAGUGAACCAAAAGCCUCCGUGUCAAGGGGGUGUGGCCAAAUCCUACCUCGCGGUGUUCACCAUUCGGGGGGGGGGGGAUUUCUGAUCCCCAUGAAUCGCGAAAAACGAGGGAUUACUGUCUUGCCAAGUUUCAAAACCGCCCAAUAUCAAGGCAGCAUGACAAUAUGAAGUUUCGAGACGACGCGCUACGAUGACGUUUCAAGACCAGAUGUCGACUUUUUGUUCCAGGCGAUACGAUGACGGAUCAAGAAGCGCCGACUUCAACACGGUACGCUUAACUUUCAUGGCGAUAUGACGGCAUUUCUCU